rnacentral:rRNA from 1 species
CCACCACCAAAGCGUUUCGCUUUGUGUGGUGCACAAAGAAGCGUAACGACAGCACUGACUGACGGUUAACGGAGCGUAAGCGACGUUCAACACAAAAAUCAGGCAGUGGAGCGCUUUGGGGUGGGGUGACUGCGUACCUUUUGUAUAAUGGGUCAGCGACUUAUAUUCUGUAGCAAGGUUAACCGAAUAGGGGAGCCGAAGGGAAACCGAGUCUUAACCGGGCGUUAAGUUGCAGGGUAUAGACCCGAAACCCGGUGAUCUAGCCAUGGGCAGGUUGAAGGUUGGGUAACACUAACUGGAGGACCGAACCGACUAAUGUUGAAAAAUUAGCGGAUGACCUGUGGCUGGGGGUGAAAGGCCAAUCAAACCGGGAGAUAGCUGGUUCUCCCCGAAAGCUAUUUAGGUAGCGCCUCGUGAACUCAUCUCCGGGGGUAGAGCACUGUUUCGGCUAGGGGGCCAUCCCGGCUUACCAACCCGAUGCAAACUGCGAAUACCGGAGAAUGUUAUCACGGGAGACACACGGCGGGUGCUAACGUCCGUCGUGAAGAGGGAAACAACCCAGACCGCCAGCUAAGGUCCCAAAGUCAUGGUUAAGUGGGAAACGAUGUGGGAAGGCUCAGACAGCCAGGAUGUUGGCUUAGAAGCAGCCAUCAUUUAAAGAAAGCGUAAUAGCUCACUGGUCGAGUCGGCCUGCGCGGAAGAUGUAACGGGGCUAAACCAUGCACCGAAGCUGCGGCAGCGAACGUAUCACUUAAAGCGAUUCAGCGGGUGACGAUUGACGGAGCGAAGCGACGUCAAAGCGUAUACAAAGUCGAGUCGGUUUAAGGAUACGUU